AUUGAACGCUGGCGGCAGGCCUAACACAUGCAAGUCGAACGGUAACAGGAAGAAGCUUGCUUCUUUGCUGACGAGUGGCGGACGGGUAAGUAAUGUCUGGGAAACUGCCUGAUGGGGGGGGAUAACUACUGGAAACGGUAGCUACUACCGCAUAGUUUCGCAAGACCAAAGGGGGGGGCCUUCGGGCCUCUGUCCAUCGGAUGUGCCCAGAUGGGAUUAGCUAGUAGGGGGGGUAACGGCUCACCUAGGCGACGAUCCCUAGCUGGUCUGAGAGGAUGACCAGCCACACGGGGACUGAGACACGGUCCAGACGCCUACGGGAGGCAGCAGUGGGGAAUAUUGCACAAUGGGCGCAAGCCUGAUGCAGCUAUGCCGCGUGUAUGAAGAAGGCCUUCGGGUUGUAAAGUACUUUCAGCGGGGAGGAAGGGAGUAAAGUUAAUACCUUUGCUCAUUGACGUUACCCGCAGAAGAAGCACCGGCUAACUCCGUG
rnacentral:rRNA from 1 species